GGUUAAGCGACUAAGCGUACACGGUGGAUGCCUAGGCAGUCAGAGGCGAUGAAGGGCGUGCUAAUCUGCGAAAAGCGUCGGUAAGCUGAUAUGAAGCGUUAUAACCGACGAUACCCGAAUGGGGAAACCCAGUGCAAUACGUUGCACUAUCGUUAGAUGAAUACAUAGUCUAACGAGGCGAACCGGGGGAACUGAAACAUCUAAGUACCCCGAGGAAAAGAAAUCAACCGAGAUUCCCCCAGUAGCGGCGAGCGAACGGGGAGGAGCCCAGAGUCUGAAUCAGUUUGUGUGUUAGUGGAAGCGUCUGGAAAGUCGCACGGUACAGGGUGAUAGUCCCGUACACCAAAAUGCACAGGCUGUGAACUCGAUGAGUAGGGCGGGACACGUGACAUCCUGUCUGAAUAUGGGGGGACCAUCCUCCAAGGCUAAAUACUCCUGACUGACCGAUAGUGAACCAGUACCGUGAGGGAAAGGCGAAAAGAACCCCGGCGAGGGGAGUGAAAUAGAACCUGAAACCGUGUACGUACAAGCAGUGGGAGCACCUUCGUGGUGUGACUGCGUACCUUUUGUAUAAUGGGUCAGCGACUUAUAUUUUGUAGCAAGGUUAACCGAAUAGGGGAGCCGUAGGGAAACCGAGUCUUAACUGGGCGUCUAGUUGCAAGGUAUAGACCCGAAACCCGGUGAUCUAGCCAUGGGCAGGUUGAAGGUUGGGUAACACUAACUGGAGGACCGAACCGACUAAUGUUGAAAAAUUAGCGGAUGACUUGUGGCUGGGGGUGAAAGGCCAAUCAAACCGGGAGAUAGCUGGUUCUCCCCGAAAGCUAUUUAGGUAGCGCCUCGUGAACUCAUCUUCGGGGGUAGAGCACUGUUUCGGCUAGGGGGCCAUCCCGGCUUACCAAACCGAUGCAAACUCCGAAUACCGAAGAAUGUUAUCACGGGAGACACACGGCGGGUGCUAACGUCCGUCGUGAAGAGGGAAACAACCCAGACCGCCAGCUAAGGUCCCAAAGUCAUGGUUAAGUGGGAAACGAUGUGGGAAGGCACAGACAGCCAGGAUGUUGGCUUAGAAGCAGCCAUCAUUUAAAGAAAGCGUAAUAGCUCACUGGUCGAGUCGGCCUGCGCGGAAGAUGUAACGGGGCUAAACCAUGCACCGAAGCUGCGGCAGCGACACUUAGGUGUUGUUGGGUAGGGGAGCGUUCUGUAAGCCGUUGAAGGUGACCUGUGAGGGUUGCUGGAGGUAUCAGAAGUGCGAAUGCUGACAUAAGUAACGAUAAUGCGGGUGAAAAACCCGCACGCCGGAAGACCAAGGGUUCCUGUCCAACGUUAAUCGGGGCAGGGUGAGUCGACCCCUAAGGCGAGGCUGAAAAGCGUAGUCGAUGGGAAACAGGUUAAUAUUCCUGUACUUGGUGUUACUGCGAAGGGGGGACGGAGAAGGCUAGGCUGGCCGGGCGACGGUUGUCCCGGUUUAAGCGUGUAGGGGGAGUGACCAGGUAAAUCCGGUUGCUUAUCAACCCUGAGGCGUGAUGACGAUGCACUACGGUGCAGAAGCAGUUGAUGCCAUGCUUCCAGGAAAAGCCUCUAAGCAUCAGGUAACAUUAAAUCGUACCCCAAACCGACACAGGUGGUCAGGUAGAGAAUACUCAGGCGCUUGAGAGAACUCGGGUGAAGGAACUAGGCAAAAUGGUGCCGUAACUUCGGGAGAAGGCACGCUGGCGUUAGGUGAAAGGACUAGCUCCUGGAGCUGAAGCCAGUCGCAGAUACCAGCUGGCUGCAACUGUUUAAUAAAAACACAGCACUGUGCAAACACGAAAGUGGACGUAUACGGUGUGACGCCUGCCCGGUGCUGGAAGGUUAAUUGAUGGGGUCAGCCGCAAGGCGAAGCUCUUGAUCGAAGCCCCAGUAAACGGCGGCCGUAACUAUAACGGUCCUAAGGUAGCGAAAUUCCUUGUCGGGUAAGUUCCGACCUGCACGAAUGGCGUAAUGAUGGCCAGGCUGUCUCCACCCGAGACUCAGUGAAAUUGAACUCGCUGUGAAGAUGCAGUGUACCCGCGGCAAGACGGAAAGACCCCGUGAACCUUUACUAUAGCUUGACACUGAACAUUGAGCCUUGAUGUGUAGGAUAGGUGGGGAGGCCUUGAAGUGUGGACGCCAGUCUGCAUGGAGCCAACCUUGAAAUACCACCCUUUAAUGUUUGAUGUUCUAACUCGGCCCCAUGAUCUGGGGUGAGGACAGUGUCUGGUGGGUAGUUUGACUGGGGCGGUCUCCUUCCCCAAAGAGUAACGGAGGAGCACGAAGGUUAGCUAAUCACGGUCGGACAUCGUGAGGUUAGUGCAAAGGCAUAAGCUAGCUUGACUGCGAGAGUGACGGCUCGAGCAGGUACGAAAGUAGGUCUUAGUGAUCCGGUGGUUCUGAAUGGAAGGGCCAUCGCUCAACGGAUAAAAGGUACUCCGGGGAUAACAGGCUGAUACCGCCCAAGAGUUCAUAUCGACGGCGGUGUUUGGCACCUCGAUGUCGGCUCAUCACAUCCUGGGGCUGAAGUAGGUCCCAAGGGUAUGGCUGUUCGCCAUUUAAAGUGGUACGCGAGCUGGGUUUAGAACGUCGUGAGACAGUUCGGUCCCUAUCUGCCGUGGGCGUUGGAAGAUUGAGAGGGGCUGCUCCUAGUACGAGAGGACCGGAGUGGACGAAUCACUGGUGUUCGGGUUGUCAUGCCAAUGGCAUUGCCCGGUAGCUAAAUUCGGAAGAGAUAACCGCUGAAAGCAUCUAAGCAGGAAACUUGCCUCGAGAUGAGUCUUCCCUGGGGCUUAAAGCCCCCUGAAGGAACGUUAAAGACUAUGACGUUGAUAGGCUGGGUGUGUAAGUGCAGCGAUGUAUUGAGCUAACCAGUACUAAUGAUCCGUGAGGCUUAACCUU
rnacentral:rRNA from 2 species